CCCAAAAAUACACAUUCAGUGUGUGUGUGGGUCGAUGUUCGACCAGGAGAGAAGGGAAAAGGGGUAAAACCCUAGAUCACCAAAAUCCAUCAAAUUGAAGGAGGAUUGAAGGGCUAAUCGAGUGCAUGAACCAGGAAUGUCGAUCAUUUAAGUGUUUCUACCAUCAUGAACGUGUCAAGGAGAGCUCAAGCAUAGGAGGAUAACGGGUCAAGAUAAGGCAAGGUGACAAAUACACUUAUUGGAGUACUCAAGGUAAGUGAUUUCUAUAAUCACUUCUUUAGUUGUUUAAGUAAUAUAAUGUUUUAAUUAUUAAGUUCAUAUGAAGUUGAGGUCAAAUCAAUAGAUUAUUUUGAUAAAUGCACGAAUGGGUCGAAUAAUUCAUAGAUGAAUAACAAGCCGAAUACGUAUAAGUUAAGAAAUUCCUUAACUCGGAUGUUGGACUUCAAGAUCACAUGAUAGAAUAUUAAAUUACAAUCAUAUAGGAAGAAACGUGACGCAAAACGGAUGAAAAAUGAGAGAGUUAUGUCCGUUUCGGUAAGGAUUAAUGGCUAGGAAUAGUGCAGAGUUGACACGGCCGGGUGGUGAACUGACACGGCUGGGUGAAGGUUCUGUCAAAAAUAUUAUUUAUGUGAUUUAUGCGCCGUAGGCUUCGGUAUAUUAUCCGUGAACUACGACGGGCCUCCCAAACAUGAUUUCGAGUGUUUCCUUGACGAUUAUAAGUUGUAAACCCAAGUCUAAGCCUCAUGUAAUUUAUAUAAGAGUGUGAUAGAUGUGUGUAAUGAAGUUGGACAUGUAUUACAUGUAUACAAAAAUACGUACGGAACACGUAGGUAUGAAUACAUGAUUGUAGGUAUGAUUAAAUGUAUAUUAGGUAUGUAGAUGUGUAUGGUUGUAAGUUUGUAUGUGUGUAAGUAUGUGCGAAUGCAUGAUUUGGAUGCAUUUGAGAAUUAGCGUUACUAAUAAUGCCCUUGGGUUUGGAAUAUAAGUUAGUUGGAUGCAUUUAAAUGGUUGACGUCCUUUUUAUGAAGAUGUAGUAAAUGAAUAUGUUGAGAUUACGGGUUUGGCUAACCAAGUUAUUAUUGAGUAUGUUUGAAAGUGCAGGUUAUGAAUGUCGGACUUUCGAAGUGUUGAUAUAAUAAUGAAACGGUUGAAUGUUGAAAGGAUAAUCGGAUUGAAGUAACUUAUGCAGUUAGAAUAUGCUAUGGACGUUUUAGUUUAUACAACAUUUUAUGUUUGGUCGUCAUCAUCUACCAACGGGUAAAUCCUCAAUUCAGGCGACUUGGAGAAUCGGAGCGAGCGCGUGUUCAUAUUAUGUCAUACCAAAUGCUUCCGCUAGCUUGUUCAAAUGUUUUUAGUCCAAAAUUUGUUGUUUUGGUUCUUAGUAGUAUUUUGUCGAAUGAAUCGUAGAAUUGUAUCUAGUUUGUUUAUGUUUAAAACAGGGGUAUGCUCGUUUUAUGGACGGGUCAUGCCCAAUUUUUGUUAAAUUAAUGCACCUGCGUUAUUGAUAUUAUCAUUUAAAAUUCCGAAAA